GAAACGAUUGCUAAGACUGGAUAGGAAGUUUUGAGGCAUCUUUUAGUUUUUAAAGACCUAGCGAUAGGUAUGCUUAGGGAGGGGCUUGCGUCACAUUAGUUAGUUGGUGGGGUAAAGGCCUACCAAGACGAUGAUGUGUAGCUGGGCUGAGAGGUCGAACGGCCACAGUGGGACUGAGACACGGCCCAAACUCCUAGGGGAGGCAGCAGUAGGGAAUUUUUGGCAAUGGAGGAAACUCUGACCGAGCAACGCCGCGUGAACAAAGAAGUAUUUCGGUACGUAAAGUUCUUUUAUUAGGGAAGAAUAAAUGAUGGAAAAAUCAUUCUGACAGUACCUAAUGAAUAAGCCCCGGCUAACUAUGUGAAAGCAGCCGCGGUAAUACAUAAGGGGCAAACGUUAUCCGGAAUUAUUGGGCGUAAAGGGUGCGUAGGCGGUUAAAUAAGUUUAUGGUCUAAGUGCAAUGCUCAACAUUGUAACGCUAUAAAAACUGUUUAGCUAGAGUAAGAUAGAGGCAAGUGGAAUUCCAUGUGUAGUGGUAAAAUGCGUAAAUAUAUGGAGGAACACCAGUAGCGAAGGCGGCUUGCUGGGUCUUUACUGACGCUGAGACAGGAAAGCGUGGGGAGCAAACAGGAUUAGAUACCCUGGUAGUCCACGCCGUAAACGAUGAGUACUAAACGUUGGGUAAAACCAGUGUUGAAGUUAACACAUUAAGUACUCCGCCUGAGUAGUACGUACGCAAGUAUGAAACUUAAAGGAAUUGACGGGACUCCGCACAAGCGGUGGAUCAUGUUGUUUAAUUCGAAGGUACCCGAAAAACCUCACCAGGUCUUGACAUGCUUCUGCAAAGCUGUAGAAACACAGUGGAGGUUAUCAGUUGCACAGGUGGUGCAUGGUUGUCGUCAGCUCGUGUCGUGAGAUGUUGGGUUAAGUCCCGCAACGAGCGCAACCCUUAUUGUUAGUUACCAGCACGUAAUGGUGGGGACUUUAGCAAGACUGCCAGUGAUAAAUUGGAGGAAGGUGGGGACGACGUCAAAUCAUCAUGCCCCUUAUGACCUGGGCUACAAACGUGAUACAAUGGCUGUUACAAAGGGUAGCUGAAGCGCAAGUUUUGGCGAAUCUCAAAAAAACAGUCUCAGUUCGGAUUGAAGUCUGCAACUCGACUUCAUGAAGUUGAAUCGCUAGUAAUCGCGAUCAGCAUGUCGCGGUGAAUACGUUCUCGGGGUUUGUACACACCGCCGC
rnacentral:rRNA from 1 species